GCCUCUGUGGCGGAACUGGUAGACGCGACAGACUCAAAAUCUGUUGUCCGCAAGGACGUGGGAGUUCGAGUCUCUCCAGGGGCACCA
rnacentral:tRNA from 1 species